GGGUCGUUAGCUCAGUCGGUAGAGCAGCGGACUUUUAAUCCGUAGGUCGACGGUUCGAAUCCGUCACGACCCA
rnacentral:tRNA from 1 species